GGGGAAUAUUGCACAAUGGAGGAAACUCUGAUGCAGCAACGCCGCGUGAGUGAUGAAGGCCUUCGGGUCGUAAAACUCUGUUGUUAGGGAAGAACAAGUAUCGGAGUAACUGCCGGUACCUUGACGGUACCUAACCAGAAAGCCACGGCUAACUACGUGCCAGCAGCCGCGGUAAUACGUAGGUGGCAAGCGUUGUCCGGAAUUAUUGGGCGUAAAGCGCGCGCAGGCGGUCCUUUAAGUCUGAUGUGAAAGCCCACGGCUCAACCGUGGAGGGUCAUUGGAAACUGGGGGACUUGAGUGCAGAAGAGGAAAGCGGAAUUCCACGUGUAGCGGUGAAAUGCGUAGAGAUGUGGAGGAACACCAGUGGCGAAGGCGGCUUUCUGGUCUGUAACUGACGCUGAGGCGCGAAAGCGUGGGGAGCAAAC
rnacentral:rRNA from 1 species